GAGAUGCUAAUCUGCGGUGCCCCUGCAGGGCUGCAUGGAAGCUAACUGACUAUUCAACUAGCAUCCCAGCUGUUAUAGUUCUUCGUGAAACGUCAUCCAGCAGUUCACACCUGCUUUGCUUGAUAAGUGUUGACAACGGAGGCAGCAAACACUAAAACAGUCGCUACUUCCUGACAGUUCGAAGUUAACUUCCAUCAAACACUUGCAGCUAAACGACCCCCCCGACCGGUAACCAUUGAAGCUGUCGCUAAAAGCAGUAACCACUUACAAACAGGAGAGGUCAGCAAUGCUCUAUUUCUGCGGACCGGCCUCCUGGCUGUUGAUUGUCAGUCCGUGGCCUGGAGACGCCACAUUUCGAGGUCGGGAUCACCUACAAAACCGCAGCCCUGGAGCCAGAGGACCUGGACCAUGGACACAUCAGCAGGACAGUGCUUAGCUGCACACUUGUCAGGAGGUGUUGUAGCAAAGCCAUGCAGUCAGUGGGACCGUUAACAUUUCCUGGUAUGAAAUCCAACAUAAAUACUCAAAAUGUUCUGAGUCGUCAAAAACGACUCAGAACAUUUUGUACUUUUGAGAAAUAAACAAAUUACAGUUUUGUUUGUAUACAGGCUACAAUCCAGACAACUCAACCCGGGCAGCCAGAAAAUCCCUGUCACUCCAGACCUGCUGAUAAAGCAGUACUGAAAAUGUAGAGAAUAAGAGGCAACCAUGGGAUGUACACACAGACAUGAUAAACCCCUGAAGAGAAUCGGUAUUGACAAUGUGAUGUGUGGAUUUUGUGAAAUUGCUCAAAUGGCCAAUUUGCUUCUGGAGACCAGCUGGGAUUUUUGAGAUAAAAAUAGUUGCUAAUCCAGACAGUUCAAACAUUUUAAGCAUUUAUGGAUAAAUAGUAAUACAACAAUGAUGUUUUUCAUCUGUUGCUAAAUGGAAUUGCAGUUUCUAAGCUUUUUGUUGUGAGACUGCACUGAUUUCAGGGGGGCUAUUUCAAUUGUAUGUGGUAAAAAGAUGUUGAUGUUGAAUAACUUGUUUCCUCUUCCACCUGCAGUGCAUCUGUUUUGACUCUUAGUGUCUUCAUUUCACUAGCGAUGGAACAAUUGUCUUUGCACCUUCAUCCCGUGCAUCUGCUUUUUCCUUGAAGCUGUUCAGUAAAAAACACCCUUUUCUUUUGCAAGUUAUAAUUGGUUCAUUGUGGCAUUUUCGAUUACAAGAUUCCCUUUGCUGUUCUGUGUUGCGUUUUUAUAGGAUGCCAUCGAUGAAAAGGACAGAUGUUGCUGAAUAAGAGCCAACAAUCCUGAUCUUGUGCAAAGCAAGGUCUAACAUGAAAUAUUGGCUUGCCAAAAGAUUGAGUGAUGAGGUUUUUAUAUGAGGAAAUAAAAUGGAAAUGUUUGUCUGUU